rnacentral:tRNA from 1 species
CGAAAUAGCGUAAUUGGUAGCGCAAUUGACUUGUAAUCAAUGGGUUGGGGGUUCGAGUCCCUCUUUCGGC